CCCCGUGGCCACCGCGCUCCCCUGCGAGCAGCAGCGCCCGCCUCCCCCGACCCGUGUCCGCAUCCCCGGGGGAGCCCCGCCGGACGAGCGGGGCUGCGGCGCCGCGGCCGGGAGCAGCCGCUCCUCUGCCCUCGUCCCACACAGCACAGGGGCACAAAAGGGGAAAGGCUCCAGAAAACACUUCUGCAAUUCCUCAGCAAUUUUUUAAAUUCCCCAGGGAGAAGAACAUGAACUCACAGCCAUCGAGGCCUGACGGGUUCCUGCAGCGAGAGCUCGGCACGUGUCCGCAGAGAGCCAUGUUCUGGAGAUAUUACAAAGUGCUGCCCAUGCCACCAGAACUGCCUAUGAGCUGAGAGAGGAUCACAGCCUCUUCUUGUGGGUCCCGCCCAGCUUGGAGAAAAGGAGACGAGAGAGAAAACAAGAAUCAAUCCCAGGAGAAUAGGAAACUUCUUCCUAUUGAAGUUCUGUUUUGGUCACGUUAAUCAAACAUAUUCGGACUAAUGUAGAUCUGGCCAAGCUGAGUGAGUUGUUCAGCACCUUCAGCUCUGUGCUGCAAUACCGUGCUGUUGUUGUGGAGGCUUUUGGGGAGAUGAGGCAUUUCACAGUCGAUGACAGCGUCCUCUCCAGCAGGGAGCUGCUGCUGCUGCAGAAGUGGAGCCUUGUCAGCACAGAGCUGCAGCUGCAGGAGGACCUGCAGGCCCUGGCUCAGAAGGGCCAAAACAAAGAAUUGCUCAGUAAGUGCUGAAAUACUUCAAGUAAAGCGUAUUUUGUUGUAGCUGUUGCAGGCCAGCAGUUCAAAUGAGGCAAACUUCUCUGGAAGUAGUACUAACACCUUCUGCCUGACUGAUGUACCUUGGGGGAGGAGGAAAGGAAAUGGAAAGGCAUUUUUCAGAUCUUCCUUGUGGUGAUUUUGAACCUUACCACACUAUGUAUUUGUAUUUUGGGUAUUCAAUACUUGUAUGGAUAAAAAGACUCUGUAAUCACCUGGAAGCUGCAGUGUGUAUUUGGGAGUGAUCCCGCACACAAUAAACACACACUUUCUAACUUUAAACUCUUAGAGAGUUUUUGUCCAUCACAGUUGGAUAUAGGUACUAGAUCAAUCUCCAUAUUUUUUUAAUAAAUCAGAAGCUACUGUGCUUUAGGAAAGUUACGGCCUUUUGCAUUUCUGGAAUUUGGUGGGAUGAAUCCCAUGACUGGAGUGUCACUACUGAGAGCUACAGCCUGGUCAGAAGAUACAGGGGAGGAAGGAGAGAUGGAGGGAUUGCCCUCUACAUCAAGAAGUGGAUUCCACGUGAGGAGCUGUGUUUGCAGAACAGCCAUGAGCAAGUCAAAAGCCUGUAGGUAAGAAUCAGUGACCAAGGCAGCCAAGGAGCCCUGUGGAUAGUAUCUACUACAGGCUGCCUGAAAAAGGGGAUCCUGCUGACAAAGGCUUCUUUCUAAAGCUACAGGAAGCAUUGUGCUCGUUGGCUUUCGUCCUGCUGGAGGGCUUCAACCACUGCGCAGUGCAGAUCCUUUCUUGACAGGUGACUGAAACAGAGUUCCAGUGACCUUCUCAGUUAAGGUCUGUCACAUGCAAAGAAAUGCUGCUUUUGGCAUCACUAGAAAUUAAUGCCAGCUGUAGAUAUGACAAAACCACAAGUGUCUUGCCCACUGAAAAUUUUGAAAGAAAGCUGACUGUCUUCAGCAAGAUUUAGGAUCAAAUGCAAAGAGCCACAUAUCUCUUACCUGAUUAAUUUCAUAGCCACGAUUUUGUGUCUUUUGGCUCUUCACAUGGAUAGUCUUAAGCCGUACUUUGUCAUCAUUUGGUCAGCUCAUGAGGUUUUUUAGUUUUAAAAAAGGCAGAGAAACUGCAACUAUCUAUCUUUGAGUAGAGGAGCACAUACAAAAUGUCAGGGUGAAAGAUUACUCAUAUCAGCAAGGACAAGGCAGGUAUUGAAGGAGACUGUUGAAGGAGAGGUAAAAUCUUAAAUGCUAAAACUGAAGACAGAGCAUCACUAAGUCAAAUAAAAGAUUUGUCUAUUUGCUUUUAAACUGAUACAAAGCAAGAUGAAGUACAUUAUUAAAACUACUUCAAAUCUAGUAAAAAAUCUGCUGAGGUGUGCAUUAAGACAAAGGUGGAAGUUUACAAGUUACAAAUGCUUAAGACACUUCUUGCUAGGGAUAGAUAGCAUUGCAUCAGGCAGUUUGCUAUUCCAACCAUUCUUGAAAGAUUUGCAUCUCAAAAAGAUAUGGCAUAUGAAUUCUUAAAUUAGACCAAUAAUGACACACACCCAAAAAAGAAAAACAUUCUCUCUUCUCCCUUUCUUUUCUGCUUUCUUGUCAUAGAGUGUGACUAAGGAGAAACUGAAAGAAUCCACGAGUGACAGAGCUGAUUCCAAUCAAUCCUCCCUGAUGGAGUGAUCAAAGGCCAACUGUAGUGGACAAAAUAGGGCUUUACCCUCUGAAGUAUAUUUCAUCCUGUUGAGAUCAGCACAAACACAAGGGAUGAAACUGAUGUCCCACGGCUGCCAUCCAAGCUAUGACACUGUAACUCAGUACCACCUGCAAAUUUUUUUUCUUGAAUCCUUAAAGUAAUGAUUCUCUCCAUCUGCAUCCCUUAAAAUCCAAUUCUGUCAGCUUUUCAGUGUUCAAAAAUGAACUAGUUAAGAUAGCACUGAGGAAAAAAAGAACAAAAUAAACAUAUUUUAUUGUGUAAGUAGAUUUGAGAUGGAAUUACUUAAAGGUAAGUACACAUGGACCCCCCCGACAGAGUUCUCUUUUUUCAGUUGCACUUAAGGAUUGUACUUCAAAUAUGGUUACACAGAUAUCUUCCCCCCCUCCAUGUUGACUGCCUCUUAAUAUUAGAACCUAAUCUGCCACAAAAUUGCAUGAAAUAAAACAGUGAGAAAUAUACUUGAGAAUGACUGUUGUUUACAAAAAAGGUAAUUUAUAGUAUACAAUUACUGAUAAGGUAGAACAAGAGUUCAAAAACUGGACUGCAUUACAAAGCACUUCUUCAAACAUCAAUUUUUUAUUAUUGCUGUAAGGUACUAACUGGUCUGUUCUAGACUAAUUUACAGACAUUCAGAAAAUAGUGAAAAAUGCAUGCUUUAGAAACCUGGGACAUUUCAUGCCUUUGUGCUAGCAGAACAUGAAAAUGGAAGUGAUUGGCAUUUUUCAAUGUAGGUUAGUAGCAUUUAGAGUUUUUAUUCUGCUGUACUAACUGAUUCUUGAUAUUUUUUCUCAUUUUUUUCAGGUGAUUUUUCAUCUUCAGGUUUCGUCCAUGGAGGGCUUUGAAACUUCUGCAAAGGUCAAAACAUGGUGUAUAGAAUACAUAUAAGCAGAAAUAAAAAUUGUGUUAGAAUUCCA